rnacentral:rRNA from 1 species
UACGAGAGGCCCAAGCGUUAUUCGGAUUGACUGGGCUUAAAGAGUUCGUAGGCGGCGCAGAAAGUAGGGUGUUAAAGCCCUCGGCUCAACCGAGGAAUUGCGCCCUAAACUACUGUGCUUGAGGGACCUAGAGGUGAGCAGAACUGAUGGUGGAGCGGUGAAAUGCGUUGAUAUCAUCAGGAAUACCGGAGGCGAAGGCGGCUCACUGGGGGUCUUCUGACGCUGAGGAACGAAAGCCAGGGGAGCGAACGGG